rnacentral:rRNA from 1 species
GAUGAACGCUGGCGGCGUGCCUAAUACAUGCAAGUCGAGCGAAUGGAUUAAGAGCUUGCUCUUAUGAAGUUAGCGGCGGACGGGUGAGUAACACGUGGGUAACCUGCCCAUAAGACUGGGAUAACUCCGGGAAACCGGGGCUAAUACCGGAUAACAUUUUGAACCGCAUGGUUCGAAAUUGAAAGGCGGCUUCGGCUGUCACUUAUGGAUGGACCCGCGUCGCAUUAGCUAGUUGGUGAGGUAACGGCUCACCAAGGCAACGAUGCGUAGCCGACAUGAGCGGGUGAUCGGCCACACUGGGACUGAGACACGGCCCAGACUCCUACGGGAGGCAGCAGUAGGGAAGCUUCCGCAAUGGACGAAAGUCUGACGGAGCAACGCCGCGUGAGUGAUGAAGGCUUUCGGGUCGUAAAACUCUGUUGUUAGGGAAGAACAAGUGCUAGUUGAAUAAGCUGGCACCUUGACGGUACCUAACCAGAAAGCCACGGCUAACUACGUGCCAGCCGCCGCAGUAA